rnacentral:rRNA from 1 species
UCGCGGAUCAGCAUGCCGCGGUGAAUACGUUCCCGGGCCUUGCACACACCGCCCGUCACACCAUGGGAGUUUGUAACGCCCAAAGUCGGUGGCCUAACCUUUAUGGAGGGAGCCGCCUAAGGCGGGACAGAUGACUGGGGUGAAGUCGUAACAAGGUAUC